AUUGAACGCUGGCGGCAUGCCUUACACAUGCAAGUCGAACGGCAGCACGGGAGCAAUCCUGGUGGCGAGUGGCGAACGGGUGAGUAAUAUAUCGGAACGUGCCCAGUCGUGGGGGAUAACGUAGCGAAAGCUACGCUAAUACCGCAUACGAUCUAUGGAUGAAAGCGGGGGAUCGCAAGACCUCGCGCGAUUGGAGCGGCCGAUAUCAGAUUAGGUAGUUGGUGAGGUAAAGGCUCACCAAGCCGACGAUCUGUAGCUGGUCUGAGAGGACGACCAGCCACACUGGGACUGAGACACGGCCCAGACUCCUACGGGAGGCAGCAGUGGGGAAUUUUGGACAAUGGGCGCAAGCCUGAUCCAGCAAUGCCGCGUGCAGGAUGAAGGCCUUCGGGUUGUAAACUGCUUUUGUACGGAGCGAAAAGGCUUCCACUAAUACUGGGGGCUCAUGACGGUACCGUAAGAAUAAGCACCGGCUAACUACGUGCCAGCCGCCGCCGUAACAC
rnacentral:rRNA from 1 species